rnacentral:rRNA from 1 species
AGCUGUAUUUAUUUCUUCCUGGGAUUGGGAUCUAAUCAGACCUCAUAAAAUGAAUUUGACUAGUAAUUGGAUGGGAAACCUCCCAGAAAAACCAGAUGAUGCAGGAU